rnacentral:rRNA from 1 species
AUUGAACGCUGGCGGCAUGCCUUACACAUGCAAGUCGAACGGCAGCACGGGAGCAAUCCUGGUGGCGAGUGGCGAACGGGUGAGUAAUAUAUCGGAACGUGCCCAGUCGUGGGGAUAACGUAGCGAAAGCUACGCUAAUACCGCAUACGAUCUAUGGAUGAAAGCGGGGGAUCGCAAGACCUCGCGCGAUUGGAGCGGCCGAUAUCAGAUUAGGUAGUUGGUGAGGUAAAGGCUCACCAAGCCGACGAUCUGUAGCUGGUCUGAGAGGACGACCAGCCACACUGGGACUGAGACACGGCCCAGACUCCUACGGGAGGCAGCAGUGGGGAAUUUUGGACAAUGGGCGCAAGCCUGAUCCAGCAAUGCCGCGUGCAGGAUGAAGGCCUCGGUUGUAACGUAGUAC